GGCCCGUUCAUCUAGGGGUUAGGAUAUCAGGUUUUCAUCCUGGAAACAGGGGUUCGAUUCCCCUACGGGCUACGA
rnacentral:tRNA from 1 species